GGCCGCAGAGGGCCAGGGCCACGGGCAGCACUUGGUACCUGAAGCGCCAGGAUGUAGAUGUUGUGGCCCACUUCACGUGGGCUCACUUCCGAGUUCUCCCUCUCCUCCUCCUGCAGGCACAGCCGGCAUGCUCACCACUGGGCCCCACCUUGAGCUGCAGCACCAGAUCCAUGCGGUACUUGCAGAGUGGGCUGAUGUCAUUGAGAAUCAGCGCAGUGAUGAUGUCGAUGCCAUUGGAUUCAUGAGUCACGAUGCAGAUAAGAGUCUCUCUACAUAGCCCUGGCUGUUUGGAGCUCACCAUACAGACCAUGCUGGCCUCCAGGGGGCUAGGAUUAAAGGGGUACGCCACCACCUGUUUGUUACUAAAGAUGAGGUUCAGUGACAGUACUCAGGCUGGCCUUGAAGUUGCUCUGGAGUCCAGGCAAGCCUUGAACCUGGGACCCCCCUGACUCGGCAUCCUCAGUAGCAGAGAUGGCAAGCCCAAGCCACUAGGCCCAGUCUGUGACUGUUUAACACAACCCUGCGCCCUGCAUUCCAUAUCUCCUGGCUUGGAUGCUGCUUUCCACAGUGUCUACACUCUGCCUAUGUCCUUUCCAAAACACAGACAUCAAGAGAACAGAUUUUGUCUCCUUUUCA